CACCAGCACCAGCAGGGCUUCAUCAACCACCACCACCAGCACGCCGCGCCGCCGGGCCCGCCGCCGGCGCCGCCCCACCCCGCCAUGCACCACCACCACAUGGCGCCCCUCGGCGGCCUCGGGCUCGCCGCCUCCUCAAACGGCAUGAUCCAGUGGGAUAUUCGUAAUACGAACAAUCUACAGAAAGUCAAUAUUCAGUGGGAUAUUAGGAAUGCAAACAGCCUGCAAAGAGACAAUACCAGCUGGCGGGCAGAGUACACGUGAUAACUCGGGCCGCAGCCGCCGGACUUCGCCGCUGCCCCCGACGCGGCGCUGUUUCUCGGCGGAGACAACCCCCUAUGGCUACCGCCGCCAUCGGACCUUCUCCUAUGACGAGGAUCACCUGUCACCCCGCAACAAUACUGUUGAGGUUUCCUGGAAGCGCUGAAACGAGAGUUUUGCGGGACCCCUUGUGAUACCCAAUCGUGACUAAAAUAUCGUCUAGCUCUGGUACUGCGACAAUGAAAACAUUUGCUGUCCAUUGUGCGUAGACAAAGAGACAAAAACGACUGCAGUUCGUCGGUUCUGCCGCGUGCAGCUCUAAAACUAAAAAAGUUAACCAAGUACAAAGAGUUGAGAAAAGAUAUGUCUAUCAGAGCAAAGAGAUUGUGAGUUGCCCCUCUCUGUUCCCGCUCCCUCCCAAUGGACGCCGUGGACGUGACUACGUUUUAUGUGUGCAAUCAACAUAUUUCUUAAUAUCUAUAUAUCUAAAUAUAAUAAGCUAGUGUAAAGAGAAUUGACUAAGAAUUGUGAAACAAGCUAAAAAAUGAACGAAAUUAAGUAUCAGGUUUAUUGCAGACGAUUUCACGACUUUAUAUUUUGUAUGUGUUGCAGAAUUUGUUUUUAAGCAAUGUAACAAGCAAAAAUGCAGCCAAAACUUUCCUGUUUGUCUUGUUAAUUUUGCGAAAAAGAGACGGAAAUGGCGAUGGUCAUUACAUAGAUUGUUGUAGUGCUUUAAGUAACAAUACAAGUGUGUCCUCUUGUUGUUGAUAAUGGAAAUUGAGUCACUGUUUUGAAUCAAUUGUACGCACUUACCGUUUAAACAAUAUUCAUUACGAUAGUAUUAAAGUUUCUCUCUUUAUACAAAUAAAAACCAAUCUUCAAGGCGUGUGCGCAUGUCUUUCGUCGUUUUAGUCACCGUUACGUUUGUACGAUGUGAAGAAUACUGAAGAUAACAAAUUUACUUCAUAUGUACACUAAUAUUUUUGUGAUGAAAUAUCAAACACACACACACACACACACACACAUAUAUAUACAAAUGAAAAGAGAAAAACACUGAAAAUGUAUCUGCUACAUUAUGGAUCAGCCGAGUUGUUAUUUAUUGAAAUUGAUGUAUUACACAGUACUAUUAAUUUUCAUUCGUGUAGCAUAUUCAGGAAGUUGAAUCCAUUUUGUUUUUCUCAAGGCUAUAACUUUCUAGUCUAUUCACGUAAGUGCAACCGACAGAAAUGACAAUAUUCUCCCUUUCAGCGAUGUGUACUCAGUGCAUAAAUUUCACACACACAGUUGUUGCAGCAACGCACUUUCCUUUUACUCCUAAUUGGUUAAGCAUUCGUUUUUCGGAACUCACUGUUGUUAGGCCAAGAGUUCCUUAAAUUCCUGAUGCACAUAGACAGAAUUAAAUCUCAAAUUUAUCCAUCCCUGAUGAACGUUUUAUUCUCCGUUACUGAAAUAAUAAACUGGAAAUGGAUAACACAUACAUCAAAAUCUACAGCAUCAGGCUGGGGGUCUCUUUGUUUGAUUGUGCAGAAAUUAUCAAAAUAUGCAUUUAUUUAUUUACCACUGGUGCCAUUUGAGCCUUCAUUAAAACAAUAAUUCAAUACAAUUUUAACAUAAUCAGCAGCAAAUGCUUCCAUAUUUUUGUACUUAGUCAAAAAUGUUAUAUUGUUGCCAGUAAACUAAAAAUAUUGAUUUUAGUUUGCUUGCACACGUAACUGGAAGUUUCAACGGAUGCUCAUUGACCACUAAUGCAAAAUAACCAUUCACAGAGGUUUUUGUGUUUUCUGCACAUAUAAAGAAAAGCUUAAUAUUGUUGAAAACUGAGAGAAAUUAGAAAACUCUUAAGCUAGCAUAAUGAUGUAUAAACUGAAUUGUAAAAAUCAGCUGCAAAAACCAACUGACAAAACAGCAACAUUUAGAAAUUGCACUGAGUGAGAGGAUAGCCAUUCGGACAAUGGCACUAAUAACCUAUGUCACGUCAUGGUGUAACUCUACAAGCAAGCAAGAAAGAAUGAAUGUGAAGACAGAACUAACAUCUCUGUAAUGAUUAUGUCUUUCCAGUAGUAGCUCUAACGACUACUUACUCCUGAAUAUGCUCACUGAGUGAAAUGGCCGAAGAGUAUUAUUUCAAAUAUUUCGAUGUUGUGUUGUUUAAAUAAAGUGUCAUUUUAGUGUGGAAAGCGUGUACAGUAUUUCUGUGCGUGAGAUUCGGUGUGGUUGUUGUGUGAGCACUCUCACGGGUUGACCGUGCGCAACAUUUGUGUGUCUUAUUGUGGACGUUUUAGAACCUAUGUAUCUAUGUAUAUUUACGCAUACGCCUGUCUACAUGUCACUGUAUACUGGCUUAUGUGUGUAUGCGUGCAUAUAUGUAUAUAUAUGUAAUAUCCCACCACCAUGAAUGUCUGAAGAAUUGAAAUUAUGCAUUUCCACCACAUACUUUUUUUAUUUAAAACAUCAUUCUUUGUAGCAAUGUAUAUAUGAUUAAAUAUCGUGUAAAAUGGCAUAAAGCGAAA